rnacentral:lncRNA from 1 species
GUGCAUGUUCUGCACAAAUUAUCCGACUUUUUGGUAUCUGAACAGAGUAAUACAGUGAGUGUGACUUCUCUUAUUGGAGGAACUUCUGAUAAUACGGGAUCUGGAGUUGCACGUCGAUUGGGUAAAUUGUUGUUAAAUUAUUAAAAAAUCUAAGUUUUUCUUUGUUGAGGUGCCUCUGCUGACUCGUUCGUAUGCUUCUCAGUUCUGAAGACUGGCCUUAAUAUCAUUCUUGCUUGUGACCUUCCAAAGAACAGCCCAAUGCUUGAGGUUCUCUCUUUCUCACUCUCUCUCUUGUAUUUCCAUACAUCCUCAAAUUUUUUAGUAACAAAUUGCAAUUUAAAUACUGCACUUGUAUCUCAAAAUGACUGAAAUUGUGAAUUUCUUCUACCCUUCUUGUUAAGAAAUCAGCUUCGUUAUUAUUUUGACUGUUUACCCAAUUUUCACAUUUCUUUCUGUGUUGGGAUGUUCAGGCAGAUGCUGAGAAAAGGCUGGUGCAAAAGCUAAUUAGUCUAGGUUACACAAAGCCACAAGUGUAAAGGACAAUUUCCAUGGAGGAGCUUCGUCGUAGCAAUAUAUCUUACACUGCCGUGAAAUGGUUCUUUGGUUUCGUUUUUCUGGUUGAGUUCUCCAUAAUUUAUCAAAGAAAGAGAUGUGUAGUUGCAGGUGCCUCUAUCUAUACCCUUGGGGUAUAGCUUUAUCUUGGUUCUGCAAUUUGUAACAAAGAAAGGACAUUUUAGUUCUGAGACGUAGUAACAUUCCAAAAGAGAUGAUAAUGUUACUGGCUUUGUUUGGCAGCAAUGUACGAAUGGACUUCUUGAACUUGGGUUAGUUCUUGAUUUUCAAGGUGUGUUUAUAACUAAUGACAUCCUUUAUCUUUGAUUCAAAUGCCUUCGAAAUAUCUUUAUUUUUGUUUCGAUGUGGGUAAAGAGCUGACUUCCUGUGAGUGAAUCUUGAAAUGAUUCACAAGGCUUCAUUCUACCAGUCAAGUGAACUCGUUAUUCUUUUUUCUUCCUUUCUAUCGAAACUAGUAUGUAAAUUUNNNNNNNNNNNNNNNNNNNNNNNNNNNNNNNUAAUGUUACUGGCUUUGUUUGGCAGCAAUGUACGAAUGGACUUCUUGAACUUGGGUUAGUUCUUGAUUUUCAAGGUGUGUUUAUAACUAAUGACAUCCUUUAUCUUUGAUUCAAAUGCCUUCGAAAUA